CCUACGGGAGGCUGCAGUGGGGAAUAUUGCACAAUGGGGGAAACCCUGAUGCAGCGACGCCGCGUGAGCGAAGAAGUAUUUCGGUAUGUAAAGCUCUAUCAGCAGGGAAGAAAAUGACGGUACCUGAGUAAGAAGCUCCGGCUAACUACGUGCCAGCAGCCGCGGUAAUACGUAGGGAGCAAGCGUUAUCCGGAUUUACUGGGCGUAAAGGGAGCGUAGACGGCGGUGCAAGUCUGGUGUGAAAGGCGGGGGCUCAACCCCCGGACUGCAGUGGAAACUGGACGGCUGGAGUGCAGGAGAGGUAGGUGGAAUUCCUAGUGUAGCGGUGAAAUGCGUAGAUAUUAGGAGGAACACCAGUGGCGAAGGCGGCUUACUGGACUGUAACUGACGUUGAGGCUCGAAAGCGUGGGGAGCAAACAGGAUUAGAUACCCGGGUAGUC
rnacentral:rRNA from 1 species